rnacentral:rRNA from 1 species
GAUGAACGCUGGCGGCGUGCCUAACACAUGCAAGUCGAGCGAGGGUUUGCUCAGUAUUGAGUAUUCUAAGACUAGAAUGUUCAAUUCUGAGCAAAACCAAGCGGCGGACGGGUGAGUAACGCGUGGGUAACCUGCCCUAUACACAUGGAUAACAUACUGAAAAGUUUACUAAUACAUGAUAAUAUAUAUUUGCGGCAUCGCAGAUAUAUCAAAGUGUUAGCGGUAUAGGAUGGACCCGCGUCUGAUUAGCUAGUUGGUGAGAUAACUGCCCACCAAGGCGACGAUCAGUAGCCGACCUGAGAGGGUGAUCGGCCACAUUGGAACUGAGACACGGUCCAAACUCCUACGGGAGGCAGCAGUGGGGAAUAUUGCACAAUGGGCGAAAGCCUGAUGCAGCAACGCCGCGUGAACGAUGAAGGUCUUCGGAUCGUAAAGUUCUGUUGCAGGGGAAGAUAAUGACGGUACCCUGUGAGGAAGCCCCGGCUAACUACGUGCCAGCAGCCGCGGUAAUACGUAGGGGGCUAGCGUUAUCCGGAUUUACUGGGCGUAAAGGGUGCGUAGGUGGUCCUUCAAGUCGGUGGUUAAAGGCUACGGCUCAACCGUAGUAAGCCGCCGAAACUGGAGGACUUGAGUGCAGGAGAGGAAAGUGGAAUUCCCAGUGUAGCGGUGAAAUGCGUAGAUAUUGGGAGGAACACCAGUAGCGAAGGCAGCUUUCUGGACUGCAACUGACACUGAGGCACGAAAGCGUGGGUAGCAAACAGG